rnacentral:lncRNA from 1 species
ACAAACAAGAGUCGGAAGGCUGGUGAGCACAUGAGACCAGUCAUACGCCCAUCACCGUAAGGUCCUGAUGGGCAGGCUCUAGAAGGAAGGCUGUGGGUCUCUAGCUGUGAUGCUGACUGACCCCGGGCAGAUCGCUUCCCUUCUCUGGUCAUCCAACUCCUCAUCAGUUGAAAGAGGCAGUGGCUGCCAUUGUUCUUCAUGAUGUCCUGAGCGUGGUCUUUGAAUCCAGUGCAGAGCUGUUAGCAAGACGCUUCCUGAGGAAACACAGUGAAAUGCUUUGGAAUGAGAGACUGCUGUGUCAGUGAGGGUACGCUGUAUGGAACCUCAAGCCUGAAACCUGCUUGCUCGGGGUGGAGCUUCCUGCUCAUUCGUUCUGCCACGCCCACUGCUGGAACCUGAGGAGCCACACACGUGCACCUUUCUACUGGACCAGAGAUUAUUCGGCGGGAAUCGGGUCCCCUCCCCCUUCCUUCAUAACUAGUGUCCCAACAAUAAAAUUUGAGCUUUGAUCAGAA